rnacentral:tRNA from 1 species
GGGAUAAUAAGUUAAAUUUAAACUAUUACUUUUCAAGUGUAAAAACGGCUAAUCCUUAUCCCG